CAGGCUUAAAUUUCACUUCAAAUUGCAAAUUUGAAUUAAUUGGGGUUAAAAGGUUUA
rnacentral:tRNA from 1 species